UACGAAGGGGGCUAGCGUUGCUCGGAAUCACUGGGCGUAAAGCGCACGUAGGCGGAUUGCUAAGUCAGGGGUGAAAUCCUGGAGCUCAACUCCAGAACUGCCUUUGAUACUGGCGACCUUGAGUCCGGGAGAGGUGAGUGGAACUGCGAGUGUAGAGGUGAAAUUCGUAGAUAUUCGCAAGAACACCAGUGGCGAAGGCGGCUCACUGGCCCGGUACUGACGCUGAGGUGCGAAAGCGUGGGGAGCAAACAGGGAU
rnacentral:rRNA from 1 species